AUUGAACGCUGGCGGCAUGCUUUACACAUGCAAGUCGAACGGGGUGGCGGGGCAACUCGCCAUUCAGUGGCGAACGGGUGAGUAAUGCAUCGGAACGUGUCCCGUAGUGGGGGAUAACUC
rnacentral:rRNA from 1 species